rnacentral:misc_RNA from 1 species
AAGUCGUAACAAGGUUUCCGUAGGUGAACCUGCGGAAGGAUCAUUAACACGUAUCCAACGUAUCAACCAACCGUGAACUUGUUUGACCCCUCCCUUUGCAGAGAAUGAAUCGAGCUAUGUUUGAGUUCCUUGUGGGGGCACCUUUAAAAGUGCCGACUCAGACUAGCGUUCGCAAGACGAUUGGAUCUUUGAAAAGGCUCUUUUUCUUCGGCAACGAUGACCCUCAUCAUUCGAAGUCGGAGAAAGCAUAUAAACACCCUUUAAACCUUUUUUUGCUAGUUGAUUUUUUUAUGUUGACUCUUCGAAAGAAGAAUCACACGUUAUUUAAUUGAACGUAAAAUACAACUCUUAGCAAUGGAUAUCUUGGUUCUC